rnacentral:rRNA from 1 species
AAGAGGUACGUGAGCUGGGUUUAGAACGUCGUGAGACAGUUUGGUCCCUAUCUACUGUAAGCAUAAAAAAAUUGAAGAGAUUGUUUUCUAGUACGAGAGGACCGAAAAACGCAAACCUCUGGUGUGUCGGUUGUUUUUUAAGUAUUGCCGAGUAGCUAAGUUUGUUUUAGAUAAUCACUGAAAGCAUCUAAGUGAGAAACUGACUCUAAGAUAAAUUUUUUAUAAACUGGAAUAGAUAAUUCCAUUAGAUAGAACUUACAUUUAACAUUGGUAAUAAUUAAGUGUAAAAUUACUAAA